GGUCUAUGUGGUGUACAUAACACAAUAAGUUGUAAACUUAUAGUUGCGAUAGCUUUGACCA
rnacentral:tRNA from 1 species